CGGCGCCACAGUGACACGCCACGCGACUCACGCAACACGCACACGCUGAAGAGGAGGAGGAGGAAGAGGAGGAGGAGGAGGAGUGGUGAGGACACGUGCAUCCACUUCCAGAUAUCGUCCACAAGUCCACCUGAUCUAUCUGAGUGACAUGAAGGAGUCCAGUGGCGAGGGUCUUGUCUUUCCUUCACCUCACCUCAAGUCAUUCCAUAGCAAGACAUCCUACAAGACCUCAAUGCCCAAGACACCAAGACAUCACCACACACUGCCACUCCUCACGUUCUGGCAGUGCCGUUGCCCAGUGCAGAGUUGCCAUUA